rnacentral:lncRNA from 1 species
AUGCCAAUAGGAAAGAAGGGCAAGGAAAAGAAGGGGAUUCCAGCUCCUGCUGUUGUGAAGAAGCAGCAGACCAAGAAGGUGGUAAAUCUCCUCUUAGAGAAAAGACCUAAGAAUUUUGGCCUUGGACGGGACAACCUGCCCAAAAGGGACCUUACCCACCUUGUCAUAUGGCACUGCUAUGUCCAGUUGCCCUGGAAAAGGGCUACUUUCUAAAUGAGGUUGAAAGUGGCUCUUGCAAUUAACCAGUUCACCCAGGCCUUGAGCUGCUAAACAAGGGCUCAACUGCUUAAGCUGGCCCACAAGUACAGACCAGACACAAAGCAUGAGAACAAGCAGAGGUUGUUAGUUCAGGCUGAAAAGAAAGCUGCUGGUAAACAGGAUGUCCCACUAAGAGACCUCCUAUUCUUGAAGCAGAGAUUGGCACUGACACCACUUUGGUGGAGAACAAGAAGGCUCAGCUGGUGGUGACUGCAUAUGACACAGAUCCCACAGAGCUGGAUGUAUCUGCCCUGUGUCAGAAGAUGGGUGGUUCCAUUGCAUUAACUAUGGGAAGGCCAGACUGGACUCUAGUACACAGAAAGACCUGCACUACCAUUGCCUUCACACACAGGUUACCUCGAAAGAAAAAGGAGCUCUGGCUAAACUGGUGGAAGCUAUCAUGACCGAUGACAAGGACAGAUAUGAUGAAGUAUCAUCCUCUCUGGGAAGGAAAUAUCCUGGGUACAAAAUCUGUGGCUUGCAUUGCCAACCUGGAAAUGGCAAAGGCUAAAGAACUUGCCACCGAACUGGGU